UAUUUCCCAAUAGGCUUCAGGGCAA
rnacentral:misc_RNA from 1 species